GACGAACGCUGGCGGUAUGCUUAACACAUGCAAGUCGAACGAGAAGCUUUUUAAUGAUCCUUCGGGUGAACUAAGAAGUGGAAAGUGGCGAACGGGUGAGUAACGCGUGGGUAACCUGCCUCAUGGAAAGGAAUAGCCUCGGGAAACUGGGAGUAAAGCCUUAUAUUAUUGAGUUGUCGCAUGGCAAUUCGAUGAAAACUCCGGUGCCAUGAGAUGGACACGCGUCCCAUUAGCUAGUUGGUGAGAUAACAGCCCACCAAGGCAACGAUGGGUAACCGGUCUGAGAGGGCGAACGGUCACACUGGAACUGAGACACGGUCCAGACUCCUACGGGAGGCAGCAGUGGGGAAUAUUGCGCAAUGGGGGAAACCCUGACGCAGCAAUACCGCGUGAGUGAAGAAGGUUUUCGGAUCGUAAAGCUCUUUUAUUGGGGAAGAAGAAGUGACGGUACCCAAUGAAGAAGUCCCGGCUAACUACGUGCCAGCAGCCGCGGUAAAAC
rnacentral:rRNA from 1 species